GGGUGGGGGGCUGGCUGUGACAUUUGUCACUGUGUUGUUCUCUAGAAAGUAUUCUGCUCGAGUGACUCGCUGUCAUGUGGAUAUCCCCUUACUUCUCCUCCACUCCACUCAUGUUCCUCCCCAAAUGGCAGACUUGUCUGAAGAGAACAGUGUUCCCAGAGGCCACAACUGUCCUCCGGUCAAGGGUCCCUUGAGUAAAAUGAGUGGUGCAGACAAUAAAAGCGAUGCCACUU
rnacentral:sRNA from 1 species